AAAAAGGUAAGGUAACUAAGCUCAUGGAUUCGUACCCCAUUCAUAGAGGUAUUAAUCCUCUCCUUUUUA
rnacentral:tRNA from 1 species